UAGGGAAUCUUCCACAAUGGACGCAAGUCUGAUGGAGCAACGCCGCGUGAGUGAAGAAGGUCUUCGGAUCGUAAAGCUCUGUUGUAAGAGAAGAACGUGUGUGAGAGUGGAAAGUUCACACAGUGACGGUAACUUACCAGAAAGGGACGGCUAACUACGUACCAG
rnacentral:rRNA from 1 species